GACGAACGCUGGCGGCGUGCUUAACACAUGCAAGUCGAACGGAAAGGCCCUGCUUUUGUGGGGUGCUCGAGUGGCGAACGGGUGAGUAACACGUGAGUAACCUGCCCUUGACUUUGGGAUAACUUCAGGAAACUGGGGCUAAUACCGGAUAGGAGCUCCUGCUGCAUGGUGGGGGUUGGAAAGUUUCGGCGGUUGGGGAUGGACUCGCGGCUUAUCAGCUUGUUGGUGGGGUAGUGGCUUACCAAGGCUUUGACGGGUAGCCGGCCUGAGAGGGUGACCGGCCACAUUGGGACUGAGAUACGGCCCAGACUCCUACGGGAGGCAGCGGUGGGGAAUAUUGCACAAUGGGCGGGAGCCUGGUGCAGCAACGCCGCGUGCGGGAUGACGGCCUUCGGGUUGUAAACCGCUUUCGCCUGUGACGAAGCGUGAGUGACGGUAAUGGGUAAAGAAGCACCGGCUAACUACGUG
rnacentral:rRNA from 1 species